UGCAAGUCGAACGCACAGCGAAAGGUGCUUGCACCUUUCAAGUGAGUGGCGAACGGGUGAGUAACACGUGGACAACCUGCCUCAAGGCUGGGGAUAACAUUUGGAAACAGAUGCUAAUACCGAAUAAAACUUAGUGUCGCAUGACACAAAGUUAAAAGGCGCUUCGGCGUCACCUAGAGAUGGAUCCGCGGUGCAUUAGUUAGUUGGUGGGGUAAAGGCCUACCAAGACAAUGAUGCAUAGCCGAGUUGAGAGACUGAUCGGCCACAUUGGGACUGAGACACGGCCCAAACUCCUACGGGAGGCUGCAGUAGGGAAUCUUCCACAAUGGGCGAAAGCCUGAUGGAGCAACGCCGCGUGUGUGAUGAAGGCUUUCGGGUCGUAAAGCACUGUUGUAUGGGAAGAACAGCUAGAAUAGGAAAUGAUUUUAGUUUGACGGUACCAUACCAGAAAGGGACGGCUAAAUACGUGCCAGCAGCCGCGGUAAUACGUAUGUCCCGAGCGUUAUCCGGAUUUAUUGGGCGUAAAGCGAGCGCAGACGGUUUAUUAAGUCUGAUGUGAAAGCCCGGAGCUCAACUCCGGAAUGGCAUUGGAAACUGGUUAACUUGAGUGCAGUAGAGGUAAGUGGAACUCCAUGUGUAGCGGUGGAAUGCGUAGAUAUAUGGAAGAACACCAGUGGCGAAGGCGGCUUACUGGACUGCAACUGACGUUGAGG
rnacentral:rRNA from 1 species